rnacentral:lncRNA from 1 species
CUCAGCCCUUUCCUCGGGGUCCUUGCUUCCUAGCAGGCCGGCCAGGAGCAACAGCAGAACCUGUACAUUCUGGACAAGCUACAAUCUGCAUGUACCUAGGUUUCUGUUGCUGUGUAUAAGCAGUGGAUUCCAAACACCAAUUUUGAAGAUGCUUCCAACUGGGACAAAAACCGAACUCCAAGCGAGACUGACAUUGUCAUGUUUGACAGCAAUAAGGUACUCUUCAUUUCCUGGAAUCUUCCUUGUGAUUGUUUAAAGAGCGCAAGAAAGAGAAGUAG